rnacentral:tRNA from 2 species
ACGUCGGUAGCUCAAUUGGCAGAGCGGUGGCCUCCAAAGCCACUGGUUGAGGGUUCAAGUCCUUCUCGGCGUGCCA